UACGUAGGGCGCAAGCGUUGUCCGGAAUUAUUGGGCGUAAAGGGCUCGUAGGCGGUUUGUCGCGUCGGGAGUGAAAACCUAAGGCUCAACCUUGGGCUUGCAGUGGGUACGGGCAGACUAGAGUGCGGUAGGGGUGACUGGAAUUCCUGGUGUAGCGGUGGAAUGCGCAGAUAUCAGGAGGAACACCGAUGGCGAAGGCAGGUCACUGGGCCGCAACUGACGCUGAGGAGCGAAAGCAUGGGGAGCGAACAGG
rnacentral:rRNA from 1 species